rnacentral:tRNA from 1 species
GAUCGCGCUGGACGAGCCGACGUCGUCGCUGUCGCAUCGCGAGACGGAAGUGCUGUUCAAGCUCGUGCGCGAUCU